rnacentral:rRNA from 1 species
UACGUAGGGUGCAAGCGUUGUCCGGAAUUAUUGGGCGUAAAGAGCUCGUAGGCGGUCUGUCACGUCGGGAGUGAAAACUCGGGGCUCAACCCCGAGCCUGCUUCCGAUACGGGCAGACUAGAGGUAUGCAGGGGAGAAUGGAAUUCCUGGUGUAGCGGUGAAAUGCGCAGAUAUCAGGAGGAACACCGGUGGCGAAGGCGGUUCUCUGGGCAUUACCUGACGCUGAGGAGCGAAAGUGUGGGGAGCGAACAGG